UAUUGGUCAAUGGGGGGAACCCUGAUCCAGCGACGCCGCGUGAGUGAAGAAGUCUCUCGGUAUGUAAAGCUCUAUCAGUAGGGAAGAAGAAAUGACGGUACCUGAGUACGAAGACCCGGCUAACUACGUGCCAUCAGCCGCGGUACUACGUAGGGGGCAAGCGUUAUCCGGAAUUACUGGGUGUAAAGGGAGCGUAGACGGUGAUGUAAGUCUGGAGUGAAAGGCGGGGGCCCAACCCCCGGACUGCUCUGGAAACUAUGUGACUGGAGUGCAGGAGAGGUGAGCGGAAUUCCUAGUGUAGCGGUGAAAUGCGUAGAUAUUAGGAGGAACACCAGUGGCGAAGGCGGCUCACUGGACUGUAACUGACGUUGAGGCUCGAAAGCGUGGGGAGCAAACAGG
rnacentral:rRNA from 1 species